GAUGACCUCUGGCGGCGUGCCUAACACAUGCAAGUCGAACGAAGCACCUUACUUGAUUCUUCGGAUGAAGGUCUGGUGACUGAGUGGCGGACGGGUGAGUAACGCGUGGGUAACCUGCCCUGUACAGGGGGAUAACAGCUGGAAACGGCUGCUAAUACCGCAUAAGCGCACGAGGAGACAUCUCCUUGUGUGAAAAACUCCGGUGGUACAGGAUGGGCCCGCGUCUGAUUAGCUGGUUGGCAGGGUAACGGCCUACCAAGGCAACGAUCAGUAGCCGGUCUGAGAGGAUGAACGGCCACAUUGGAACUGAGACACGGUCCAAACUCCUACGGGAGGCAGCAGUGGGGAAUAUUGCACAAUGGGGGAAACCCUGAUGCAGCAACGCCGCGUGAGUGAAGAAGUAUUUCGGUAUGUAAAGCUCUAUCAGCAGGGAAGAUAAUGACGGUACCUGACUAAGAAGCUCCGGCUAAAUACGUGCCAGCAGCCGCGGUAAUACGUAUGGAGCAAGCGUUAUCCGGAUUUACUGGGUGUAAAGGGUGCGUAGGUGGCAGUGCAAGUCAGAUGUGAAAGGCCGGGGCUCAACCCCGGAGCUGCAUUUGAAACUGCUCGGCUAGAGUACAGGAGAGGCAGGUGGAAUUCCUAGUGUAGCGGUGAAAUGCGUAGAUAUUAGGAGGAACACCAGUGGCGAAGGCGGCCUGCUGGACUGUUACUGACACUGAGGCACGAAAGCGUGGGGAGCAAACAGGAUUAGAUACCCUGGUAGUCCACGCCGUAAACGAU
rnacentral:rRNA from 1 species